rnacentral:rRNA from 1 species
UACGGAGGGUGCAAGCGUUAUCCGGAUUUACUGGGUUUAAAGGGUGCGUAGGUGGGCAGGUAAGUCAGUGGUGAAAUCUCCGAGCUUAACUCGGAAACUGCCAUUGAUACUAUCUGUCUUGAAUUAUCUGGAGGUGAGCGGAAUAUGUCAUGUAGCGGUGAAAUGCUUAGAUAUGACAUAGAACACCAAUUGCGAAGGCAGCUCACUACGGAUAUAUUGACACUGAGGCACGGAAAGCGUGGGGGAAUCAAACAGG